CCCCCUUCCUGUUCAAGUGAGCACAGCACAACAAGUUCACGGAGUUCACCUGAAAACCAAGAGGAUGAGUCAGGAAAGGCUAAGGUUACUGCUGCCUGCCCAGGAGGAGGAGGCCCAGGGGAAGGAGGAGAGGAGAGAGCCAUUCCACAGAUUUGUCUCUCACAAAGAUGGAGAAGAAAGGUUGAGGUCAUAAUAGAGCACAUUCUGCUGAUUUGAAAAUAAUUGAACCCUUAAUCUGUCUGGAAUUGAAGUAAUGGAGAGGGAUGGACCUUGGCCUUCGUGUACUGUGGUUGAGUGUCAGGCUAGAAGGAUGAAGAUAGGUCUGGGUGAGUGCAGAAAAUAGAAGCACAGGCAUUGACGUUACAGCUCAGACAAUAACAAAAAUAAACAAUCAAUAGAACAUAUAAAUACAAUAUAAUAUAUACAUUCAGUUAUCCUAUGAAGAGGAUAGAGAAUGCACAUUAAAUACAUGCUAAAAUACAUCUUGAAUAGUUUUUUAUUAUAUCAAACUAAAUAAGUAUAAUUAUUUUCCCGUCCUAUGGCCUUGAGCAAUUUGCGAGCAGCGUGCCCAGCCAAGCUCAAGAGUCUCCACUCCCUGAAACUCCCUGAAUCCAAUCGAUUCAUUUUCAACUUCCACUUACCCUGCUAUGGAUCAAAAUCCAUGUUACAGAUGGGAUAUAGUAAACCUUGUUAAGUUGUGGAGAGACAAAAAAAUAUAUUGCCUCAUUUGUCGGGGUUUGAACUUAACAUUGUUUUAAAGACAUAUUGGACUAUGCUCAGUGGGAUGUCAAAGGAGUCAAUCCUCAGAGUAAAGUAAUCUAUAGCAUCAUUAGCAACUGAACAUGAUGUUAGAUACCCUGGAGAGAUUCUAUGGUUUCCCCCAUCAUGGAGUCCUACAGCAACUGUUUUGCUCACCAUAGUUUUAUUUCUGUUUACAGUAACAUUGAUAUCUCUAAAUCACUGGCAGUUGAAAAGAUAACUGUGAGUGCUAUUAUGAUGUUUAGAUGUGUUCCAGACAUAUUUUAAAGCGAGAUCGAUGCACUGACAAAAUAAGUCAUGAAAAAUGGUGAUAUUUGUCAUCUGAGGUAUUUCUCGGUGACAGAGCAGCGAUGAUGUCAAGGAGAGCUUCACCUCAAUCCCCUGGUAAUAAAACACAGACCCAGGAGCAAAUUUAACUGACCUCAGACCCUUUGGAAGCUUGAAGAACGAUCUGGCCUUAAUGGCCCUGUACUCUUAUAAUAUCUGCCUGGCACAGCUAGAAGAGGAGUGGCCACCCCACAAAGCCUGAUUCCUCUAUAGGUUUCUUCCUAGGUUCCUGCCUUUCUAGGGAUUUUUUCCUAACCACAGUACUUCUUUUUUUGUGCUUUGGGGUUUUAGGCUCGGUUUCUGUAUAAGAACUUUGUGACAACUGGUGAUGUAAAAAGGGCUUUAAAGAUAUGUACAUUUGAUUUACUGAUUGUUUUUUAACCUCUGUGUCCACGAGAGAAAGAGAGAGAGAGGGAGGGGGAGAGAAAGAGAGAGAGA